rnacentral:rRNA from 1 species
CUCCCAGAACGGGGAGGUAGUGACAAAAAAUAACGGUACGGGACUCAUCCGAGGCCCCGUAACUGGAAUGAAUACACUUUAAAUCCUUUAAUAAAGAUCUAUCUGAGGGCAAGUCUGGUGCCAGCAGCUGCGGUAAUUCCAGCUCUGAUAGCGUAUAUUAAAGUUGUUGCGGUUAAAAAGCUCGUAGUUGGUUCUGUGUGCCAUGCUGUUGGUUCACCGCCUGCCGGUGCAACUGACAUGUCAUGGGACGUCCUAUUGGUGGUAACUUUAAAGAGCUAUUUUUGGAUGUUCAAUUUUUUUGUUUCAACCAAUUAUAGAUUUCUUUAAAUUACCGAAAUUCGUUCCCGCCGCGGUGCUCUUCAUUGAGUGUCGAGGUGGGCCGAUACGUUUACUUUGAACAAAUUAGAGUGCUCAAAGCAGGCAAAAAUUUGCCUUUGAAUAGUGGUGCAUGGAAUAAUAGAAUAUGACUUUGGUUCUAUUUUGUUGGUUUACAGAAUCCAAGGUAAUGAUCAAUAUGGACAGGCGGGGGCAUUCGUAUUGCGACGUUAGAGGUGAAAUUCUUGGAUCGUCGCAAGACGAACUAGAGCGAAAGCAUUUGCCAAGUAUGUCUUAAUUGAUCAAGAACGAAAGUUAGAGGCUCGAAGGCGAUCAGAUACCGCCCUAGUUCUAACCAUAAACGAUGUCAGCCAGCGAUCCGUCGAUGUUUAUUUCAUGACUCGACGGGCAGCUUCCGGGAAACCAAAGCUUUUGGGUUCCGGGGGAAGUAUGGUUGCAAAGCUGAAACUUAAAGGAAUUGACGGAAGGGCACCACAAGGAGUGGGGCCUGCGGCUUAAUUUGACUCAACACAGGAAACCUCAUCAGGUCCAGACAUUGGAAGGAUUGACAGAUUGAUAGCUCUUUCUUGUUUC